rnacentral:rRNA from 1 species
ACUCAAAGGAAUAGACGGGGACCUGCACAAGCGGUGGAGCAUGUGGUUUAAUUCGACGGUAAGCGAGGAACCUUACCAAGGCUUGACAUGUAGCUGCAAUCCCGAUGAAAGUUGGGACGCCUUCGAGGGUGCUACACAGGUGCUGCACGGUUGUCGUCAGCUCGUGCCGUGAGGUGUUCACUUAAGUGUGAAAACGAGCGCAACCCCUAUUGUGAGUUACAAGUGUCUCACGAAACUGCCCGCGUUUAAGCGGGAGGAAGGUGGGGAUGACGUCAAAUCAGCGUGGCUCUUACGCCUUGGGCGACACACGUGCUACAAUGGGUAGAACAAAGGGACGCCAAAGCGCAAGCUGGAGCAAAUCCUAUCAAUACUACCCCCAGUUCGGAUUGAGGGCUGCAACUCGCCCUCAUGAAGCCGGAAUCGCUAGUAACCGUAUAUCAGCCUCGAUACGGUGAAUACGUUCUCAGGUUUUGUACACACCGCCCGU